rnacentral:rRNA from 1 species
ACUGUUUCAGUAACACGUGGAUAACCUGCCCUAUGGUGGAGAAUAACCCCGGGAAACUGGGGAUAAUACUCCAUAGAUUAGAGAUACUGGAAUGUUCUUUAAUCGAAAGUUGAGGCGCCAUAGGAUGGAUCUGCGGUCGAUUAGGUUGUUGUUGGGGUAACGGCCCAACAAGCCUGUAAUCGAUACGGGUUGUGGGAGCAAGAGCCCGGAGAUGGAAUCUGAGACACGAUUCCAGGCCCUACGGGGCGCAGCAGGCGCGAAAACUUUACAAUGCAGGAAACUGUGAUAAGGGAACCCCGAGUGCCCGUAUACGCGGGCUGUCCAGGUGUCUAAAAAGCAUCUGAAGAAAGGGCCGGGCAAGACCGGUGCCAGCCGCCGCGGUAAUACCGGCGGCUCGAGUGGUGGCCACUAUUAUUGGGCUUAAAGCGUCCGUAGCUGGACUCUUAAGUCUCUUGGGAAAUCCGCCGGCUUAACCGACGGGCGUCUAAGAGAUACUGAGAGUCUAGGGACCGGGAGAGGUGAGAGGUACUCCGGGGGUAGGAGUGAAAUCCUGUAAUCCCUGGGGGACCACCGAUGGCGAAGGCAUCUCACCAGAACGGCUCCGACAGUGAGGGACGAAAGCUGGGGGAGCGAACCGGAUUAGAUACCCGGGUAGUCCCAGCCGUAAACUAUGCGCGUUAGGUGUACUGGUGACCACGAGUCACUGGGGUGCCGAAGGGAAACCGUGAAACGUGCCGCCUGGGAAGUACGGUCGCAAGGCUGAAACUUAAAGGAAUUGGCGGGGGAGCAC